GGCCGCUCGGCGUUGGCGGUACCUGUUCCGUUCCCGCUGUCUUCCUCUCGCCUUGGAUGCGUGACAGGAGCCAACUCGCCUCUGGUGGGCUCUGGGAGCCGCGGGGCUGUAACCCUUUGCAGGAAGUUGGCACGGCUCCCAGACCCGACGCGAAAGGAAGAAAAAUGGGAAGAGAACAGCUCCAAGCCGGCAGGACAAUGCAUGGGGGACGGGGAGAUCAGCGUAGCUCUCGGAAUCCAUCUCGCCCGCCCCGCUUCGGAACCGCUCGCCCCCGCGCAUCGUCCGCAUGGUACUCGCAGCUCCUGAAUUAUUCCAGUCCAUGAGCGGGAGGGAGCGCACAGUCCGGAGUCCCUCCGAGCUGCCAAGAGCAUUGCAACAGGAAAGAAAGAAAGCGCGAGAGGGAGAGCGAGGCAGAGUCCUCACAAUCGAGCAGCGAGAAGAGCAAGGAGAAAUUAACAUCCAAUUAGCGCCGUGUUUAACGAGGGAGACAGAGGCGGCUGUUGUUUUAUUGCCCUGUUCUUUUCAGGCACAUCUGACAGGCAGCGGGGAAGGCACCCCUGCUCGAAGUGACGUCAUCAUAUUUUAUUUUUUUUUUAUUAUGAUUUUUUUUUUUUUCCUUUUCCCCCCGUCUUUCCUCUUCCAAGUUUCACGGCGAGGUCUCGGCAACUUGGCCAGGGCGACGCGGGGCUUCGGGCCGACGGCUCUGCCCUCCGCCUCCGGCCUCGAUCCCCCCUCCCCAGCACCGGCCCUGGAAAACAAACACCAACCCCAGCCCGAAGUCUUUGUUCUUCCAAACAAUUAAAAAUAAAGGAAAAAAAAAAAAAAUAAAGGAAAAAAAUAAACAUUCAGGUCAACCCGGAGGAGGUUUCUGCGCUCUGUGUGUGCCUGCGUCCGUCUCGCUCGCGUUCCUCUUCCGAGACGGCUCGCUCGGCUUGUAAAACUUUGCAGCAUGUGACGCUGCUCCCAGCCUCCUUUGGCAGAGUGACAAGAACCGCGCUGCCGGGAUCGGAGAGCGCAGGCGGCUUUUAAGGAAGAAACUCAAUUCGCCGAGAUUAGAGAAUUAGGGAUGUUUUAAUCAAGGGACCGUGAGGGGCUGCCAGCGGGCGGCCGGGAGGGACGGCACUGGGGCGAGCGGCCGCGAGGACGGCAGUGCCGUGGCCCCGUGUGGGGCUGUGCUGGGGGGAGAGGAGCUGCGUUGCAAACAGGGGAGACUUAAUGCAAUGUCCUCGGCUCUCUCCUCCCCCCGGGGCGGGGGGGCCGCGGCGCCAUGUGAGCAGGGUGGGAGGAAGGCCCGUGGGCCUCGGCCUUCCCCUCAGGCCUGGGGUCUCCUCGCAGGGAGGAAGCAAGGCCGCGGGGCCCCGUGUGCUGCUGGACGGGGGGGUUGGCUGGAGGUGCGGGCAGAAUUUCCUCCAAAAGGCUCUGCACAAAGCAGGGGGGGUGCGGAAGGCUGCUCGACACCUCCUCGGAGCUGCCCGUAGCCUGUGGCUGCGCGUGGGGACAUGCGGCCUGCAUGGCGGGCCGGGCCGCAGCUCAGCGCUCCGGCUGUGCCGAUCACCGCCUUUUUUCCUCGUCUCUAGCCAAAAUUUCUCUCAGUUCCCUCCCUGCCUGCUCCGCCUCUUGCUCUGUGCCCCCAGCAGGUCCUGCUCCGUGCUCUCCAUCACCUCCCGCCCCGCUCCUCCCCACCCUCGUGCCACUGUGAGAGGGGACAGCUCUGCAGCCUCCAUGCCCCUGUCCUGAGUCCCCAUCCCGAACCCUCCCCAGUGGGACUGGGCUGCACCAGCCAGCUCUCCAGGGGUUAUUUUUAUUAUUGAAUAACUGUUUGCCUCCGUGGAUCUCCCUGCUGCAGGAGAGCAGCACAAAGAGACCCGCCAUGGGCAGCAGUGCUGCGGGGGCAUUCCCUCACUCCCCAUAAGCCUAACACUGGGGUGACAGCACUGGGAAAAGCGUGCUCAGCCGGUCUUUGUCUUAGCUGAAGGGUUUUUAGCAGCAGAACUCUGCAGGGGGAAGGUGAGGAAGGGCCCCAGGGAGGCUCGGGGCUGCCUUGACCUGAGCUUCCCUCUCCCCGCUGCGCUCUCUGUCUCCUUUGUCCCCCCGGCAGCUGGGAGCAGAUGAGGCCAAAGUCCUGGUAAUCUCUGCUUUCCACUGGGGAAUGAUAAACUGCAGGCACGGGGUGGUUGCAAUCUCCACCCAUCCCAUUUCUGUGCUGGAGAGUCAAUAUUUAAACACAAGUUUGUUUCCUGGCUAGGUAGGGGAGCGCCUGUGCGUGGGCCCCAGGUGCCAGAUCCAACCCUCCUUCCAUACCAGUUCAUUUGUUCUCCCAAAUGCAGUUUCACCCCUGAGCCCCGCUCCUGUAGGAGCAGGGCCCCAUCCUUCUCACCUGUGCUGCAGGGGCUGGGCACCUGCUAACAGGCAGCAAUUAAAGGGGAGGGGCUGCUAGGCAGUGUUUUUUUGCCUUGCCUGUUCCAUAGAGGGCCACCUCAAGAGAAGCAAGGGACAAGAAGAACCAGAAAGCAGGAGCUCCUCUCAGAGGCCCUCAUCAAUGCAAGGCACGUUACAAACUGGUUCUCUCCCUUCGUGUGUGGUUAUGGCUUGGUCCCUGAAGGCCAAUCUGAGUAUCAGCCUUCCCAAAUGACUACCUGGGACCCACAUCUGUUCUGUGGCUUCAUACAAAGCCGCUUCUGUUUACAAGAUGCACUUCUCUAUGAGAGUUUUGGGGGUCAUCCUCAGUCUGGAGAGGACAGGCAGAGGGACAG